GACGAACGCUGGCGGCGUGCUUAACACAUGCAAGUCGAACGGAAAGGCCCUGCUUUUGUGGGGUGCUCGAGUGGCGAACGGGUGAGUAACACGUGAGUAACCUGCCCUUGACUUUGGGAUAACUUCAGGAAACUGGAGCUAAUACCGGAUAGGAGCUCCUGCUGCAUGGUGGGGGUUGGAAAGUUUCGGCGGUUGGGGAUGGACUCGCGGCUUAUCAGCUAGUUGGUGGGGUAGUGGCUUACCAAGGCUUUGACGGGUAGCCGGCCUGGGAGGGUGACCGGCCACAAUGGGACUGAGAGACGGCGCAGUAUGCUACGGUAGGCAGCAGUGGGGAACAUUACACAGUGGGCGGAAGCCUGAGACAACAACGCCGCGUUCGGGAAGACGGCCUUCGGGUUGUAAACCGCUUUCGCCUGUGACGAAGCGUGAGUGACGGUAAUGAGUAAAGAAGCACCGGCUAACUACGUG
rnacentral:rRNA from 1 species